rnacentral:rRNA from 1 species
CCUACGGGGGGCAGCAGUCGAGAAUCAUUCACAAUGGAGGAAACUCUGAUGGUGCGACGCCGCGUGGGGGAAUGCAGCUCUUCGGAUUGUAAACCCCUUUCAUGUGGGAGCAAAUUAGAAAGAUAGUACCACAAGAGGAAGAGACGGCUAACUCUGUGCCAGCAACCGCGGUAAUACAGAGGUCUCAAGCGUUGUUCGGAAUCACUGGGCGUAAAGCGUGCGUAGGCUGUUUCGUAAGUCGUGUGUGAAAGGCGGGGGCUCAACCCGCGGACGGCACAUGAUACUGCGAGACUAGAGUAAUGGAGGGGGAAGCGGAAUUCUCGGUGUAGCAGUGAAAUGCGUAGAUAUCGAGAGGAACACUCGUGGCGAAGGCGGGUUCCUGGACAUUAACUGACGCUGAGGCACGAAGGCCAGGGGAGCGAAAGGGAUUAGAUACCCCUGUAGUC